UGGGGAAUUUUGGACAAUGGGCGCAAGCCUGAUCCAGCCAUGCCGCGUGCGGGAAGAAGGCCUUCGGGUUGUAAACCGCUUUUGUCAGGGAAGAAAUCUUCUGAGUUAAUACCUCGGGAGGAUGACGGUACCUGAAGAAUAAGCACCGGCUAACUACGUGCCAGCAGCCGCGGUAAUACGUAGGGUGCAAGCGUUAAUCGGAAUUACUGGGCGUAAAGCGUGCGCAGGCGGUUUUGUAAGACAGAGGUGAAAUCCCCGGGCUCAACCUGGGAACUGCCUUUGUGACUGCAAGGCUUGAGUGCGGCAGAGGGGGAUGGAAUUCCGCGUGUAGCAGUGAAAUGCGUAGAUAUGCGGAGGAACACCGAUGGCGAAGGCAAUCCCCUGGGCCUGCACUGACGCUCAUGCACGAAAGCGUGGGGAGCAAAACAGGAUUAGAUACCCUGGUAGUCCACGCCCUAAACGAUGUCAACUGGUUGUUGGGAAGGUUCCUUCUCAGUAACGUAGCUAACGCGUGAAGUUGACCGCCUGGGGAGUACGGCCGCAAGGUU
rnacentral:rRNA from 1 species